rnacentral:rRNA from 1 species
GAUGAACGCUGGCGGCGUGCUUAACACAUGCAAGUCGAACGAUGAAGCCCAGCUUGCUGGGUGGAUUAGUGGCGAACGGGUGAGUAACACGUGAGUAACCUGCCCUUAACUCUGGGAUAAGCCUGGGAAACUGGGUCUAAUACCGGAUAGGAGCGUCCACCGCAUGGUGGGUGUUGGAAAGAUUUAUCGGUUUUGGAUGGACUCGCGGCCUAUCAGCUUGUUGGUGAGGUAAUGGCUCACCAAGGCGACGACGGGUAGCCGGCCUGAGAGGGUGACCGGCCACACUGGGACUGAGACACGGCCCAGACUCCUACGGGAGGCAGCAGUGGGGAAUAUUGCACAAUGGGCGAAAGCCUGAUGCAGCGACGCCGCGUGAGGGAUGACGGCCUUCGGGUUGUAAACCUCUUUCGGUAGGGAAGAAGCGAAAGUGACGGUACCUGCAGAAGAAGCACCGGCUAACUACGUG